AGAAACGGCGUUAGAAAUCAGUCGAGUGAGCAUCUCCGACCCGACAACAACUGUACUACUUGUCACCAACUGCAUUUUGCCCAUUCGUAAUCGUAGAUUCGUAGUUAAUUAUGGUGCAUUCUGCUGUUGGUUAUCGUUGUGUCGACCACUGGUGUACCGAUGUCUCCUGGGUAUGGCGGAUACCAAACCCCAACGCCGACGUCUUAGAACCAAACAACAUCAAACGCAACGACCAGUUACUUCACCGAGGCCCCCCAACUACUACUACACUGAGAAGGCCGAAUGUUACACAGCCACGUAUGUUGCCCCAGUUUACUACACCGGCGGGCCCAAGUAUUACUCUGCUCCAAGCUACUACCAAACAGAGGCUUCUGACUACACCAAGGCCCCCGAGUAUUAAACUACAACCUACGCUGCCCCCAGCUACUACACUGAAGCUCCAAAGUACUAUUCCACCAAGGCAAUUGAACACCCCAACCUACGCUUCUCCACCUUACUAGACACGGCAACGACUGUAGUGCUCUAUUAGUCACCAACUGCAGUCUUGAUCGUGCAACCAAUUCGCAAUCAUGCUUAGUUUUGGCGUCGUGCUGCUGUUGGGUGAAUCAGGACGAGAAAAAGACGUAUAAAAGGAGAGGGAAAAGGCGAUGGAGUCGAGU